AGAAAAUACUUUGUGUAAAUUUGCCAUAUUUACACUCCUUCUAUUAAAGCAUGUUUACUUGCACCGUGAUUUUAUCUUUUAAGUGAAAUAUUUCGGAGAACAGUAUAGUAAAAGUCUAUGUACCCUCCCUCCUAGCAUAAAAAUUAUAAAGUUCAAUUCAUUUUUUCCUAGUCUUCCCUAACCCAGAGGGCAAUUUAGACCCUAUGUUAACAGUAACAAAUAGUAUUUUUUUAAAAAAAAUCUGUCCCAAAGGCUAGACAACCCACAAGGGUUUCCCUAAUUAUUUUGGGGAAUUGCGUGAGGGUUGCUUUCAAACACAAGGAAUUUGCACAACCACAUGGAGUACAUGGUUCUCUCUGGCUCUGGCUCUGUCUCCCAGCAGAAAUAUCUGCUGCCGGUAGCUAUGGAAGGCACCUAAGGGCUGCUACUGCCACAGGUGCCGCCUGCAGCUGACGCUCACUAUUGAAGCUAUACUUCUUUGGGUUGUUGGAGUGGUGACAGUGCUCUUAUUCUCUCUGGAGGUAGAAAAAUCCUUCUCCUCUUGUUGAGAUACAGGGAUCCCAAAUUAGUGUGACUGGUGAUCACAACAUCUCAUCAAUAUUUGGUGAAACAGGCCUCACAGCUGUUCAUCAGACAAGUGAAUUAACUGACCGAUUGUUGUACUUAGAACCUUUGUCCCUCUCCAGGACUCAAGCAUUAUCUGAGUCCCAAGCUCACUUUUCCCAGAGAAUGGGCUUCUUGAAGGGGCUGCUUUGUUUCUCAGUACACAUACACCAUUGGCCAACUUGCCUGUCAAUCCUACAGGCCACUCUAGAUUCUAGAGCAAACACACUUUAAGUCCCAGCUUGGCUUACUCUUCUAAGGGAAGAACUCAUGUCCAUCAGAUUUAUUUGAUGUUAUUUUCUGAACAAUAAAAGUGUUCAAAUAGAUUAUAGGAACAUUGCCUAGGAUAAUAUGGUAUAGCUGUGGUUUGUGAUUUAUGGUAUAUCCAUAUGAUCAGGUACAAUGUACAAUUUUCAAAUGAUGAUUAUGAAAAUUAUGUAGCAAGAUAGUAACAUGGUCAUUACAUACUUUUAAGUAGAAAAAUCAGGAUUCAAAAUUAUGUGUGUAUUAUGAUUAAAACUAGUAUUACUUGUGAUUACAACUAUUAUUACUUAUGAUUUUACUUACAAAGGAGUAAUUAGAGAACAUAGCCAUGUUAGGGUGAGGAUCAUAAGUUAUAUCAUAAUGAAAGAAUUUAUUUUUCAGAAUGUUUAUUACACAAAGUAAUAAAAUAUUUACUAUGUGCUAAAAAUUGUUACCAAAUAUUAAGUAUUGCAUAAUCUUUCUGUUUUGUAAAACACUGUCCAAGCACCAGUAUUAAAGGAUCUUUUAUCUGUCUGAUUACUGCAAGAACCUGGAAUCAAUAAAAUAUGGUAUUUUUUCUUCAUCUCAAA
ensembl:lncRNA novel transcript